GACGAACGCUGGCGGCGUGCCUAAUACAUGCAAGUCGAGCGGACCGAACAGGAGCUUGCUCUUGUUCGGUUAGCGGCGGACGGGUGAGUAACACGUGGGUAACCUGCCCGUAAGACCGGGAUAACUCCGGGAAACCGGAGCUAAUACCGGAUAACACCGAAGACCGCAUGGUCUUUGGUUGAAAGGCGGCUUCGGCUGCCACUUACGGAUGGGCCCGCGGCGCAUUAGCUAGUUGGUGAGGUAACGGCUCACCAAGGCGACGAUGCGUAGCCGGCCUGAGAGGGUGACCGGCCACACUGGGACUGAGACACGGCCCAGACUCCUACGGGAGGCAGCAGGAGGGAAUCUUCCGCAAUGGACGAAAGUCUGACGGAGCGACGCCGCGUGAGCGAAGAAGGUCUUCGGAUCGUAAAGCUCGGUUGUUAGGGAAGAAGAAGCGUCGUUCGAACAGGGCGGCGCGGUGACGGUACCUAACGAGAAAGCCCCGGCUAACUACGUG
rnacentral:rRNA from 1 species